AUUAAUCGCAUACAGAAUUUAGUAAUUGUCUUUUUGAGUUCAUAGUUUUUGUUAGCAUCUGCUACAUACGUGUAUAAUAUUACGUCUAAAUAAAAAAGUGCUUUUAACACAAACUUAUUUUUAAAUAUAACGUUGAAUUAAAACCUGAUUGUAAAAAAACCGAAGAAAUUCUUUAAAAUGGAUAUGAAAUACAUUAUCUUACUUUCUUGUAUUAUGAUGUUGAUUAUAUUUCCUAUGAAUAAUUCAGCUGCAAAAUUGUCCGAAACUAUGUCACGUAUACGUAGACAUGAAAGUUCUUCUAGCAAAUCUGAUAGUUUCGUAGGUGGAUUGAAAAAUACAUUAAGUGAAUUAUUAAAAACCAUUAAUGCUCUUGUGGAUAAUCUUCUUUAGCCCGCCUUGUGAUAGAUUUAAUCAAAAUCACAGCAAAAUUGCAAUCAAAAAGCAAAGAAAAAACAAAAAAAAUUAUUGUCAAUUAAAAUCUGGAUUUGAGUCCUGAUUUACACCUGGUUUGCUUUCCGUACAAUCAACGCAAGUUUACACAUAAUAAAAUAGAUAAGAAUUGAAAUAAGAAAAACUUAUAAGUGUUAAUUGAAAAUCUAAAAUAAUGUCUUAACACUUAAAUGAUAUCUCAAGUAGAACAGAAAAGUCAAAAUAAUGUCAAUUUGACGUCAUAUUGACCAAAUUUGAACUUCAAAUUUGAUCAGUAUGGCGUCAAAAUGAUAUUAUUUUGAUCUUCUGUUCUACUUAGGAUCUGAUAUUAUUAUAAUUUUACUUGGUGAUGGUUUAUCAAUAUGGAAAUAUAAGCAUUGUAAAAAAUCGUUAAAAAAAAAAUAAAAUAGUUUAAUAACUGUAA